rnacentral:rRNA from 1 species
UGCAAGUCGAGCGGAAGGCCCUUCGGGGUACUCGAGCGGCGAACGGGUGAGUAACACGUGAGUAACCUGCCCCUGACUCUGGGAUAAGCCCGGGAAACUGGGUCUAAUACCGGAUACGACACGCUUCCGCAUGGGAUGCGUGUGGAAAGUCUUUUCGGUCGGGGAUGGACUCGCGGCCUAUCAGCUUGUUGGUGGGGUAACGGCCUACCAAGGCGACGACGGGUAGCCGGCCUGAGAGGGCGACCGGCCACACUGGGACUGAGACACGGCCCAGACUCCUACGGGAGGCAGCAGUGGGGAAUAUUGCGCAAUGGGCGGAAGCCUGACGCAGCGACGCCGCGUGGGGGAUGACGGCCUUCGGGUUGUAAACCUCUUUCAGCAGGGACGAAGUUGACGUGUACCUGCAGAAGAAGCGCCGGCUAACUACGUGCCAGCAGCCGCGGUAAUACGUAGGGCGCAAGCGUUGUCCGGAAUUAUUGGGCGUAAAGAGCUCGUAGGUGGCUUGUCGCGUCGGGUGUGAAAGCUUGGGGCUUAACUCCAGGUCUGCAUUCGAUACGGGCUGGCUAGAGGUAGGCAGGGGAGAACGGAAUUCCUGGUGUAGCGGUGAAAUGCGCAGAUAUCAGGAGGAACACCGGUGGCGAAGGCGGUUCUCUGGGCCUUACCUGACGCUGAGGAGCG